UCACCUCUGUUGUUGACCACAGUCCACAGAAACGUCCUAGACGAUCGUCAUGGUUCUGUGGAAGCUUAAAAACCUUUUAUUUAUCCUUCUGUUCUGUGGUUCUCAUGGACGACGUGUUGUGGACGACAUGAGAUUACCUUGGAAUGAAGAAUUUAUAUCGUUUGAGGACUACCUGCGCCACCAUCAAGGAGGAAAUACAAAGCAAACCAUCAGUUCUUCACCAAGGUUCACUCUGGUGGCUCCAGACAUCCUGAGGACGGACAUCCAGGAAAACAUCUACUUACAGGCAGAUGGCGCAUCCAGCCCUGUCGCCGUCUCCAUCGCCAUCUGGGACUUUAGCAAAAGCGUUAUGCUCCUCCAGGACUCUGCUACACUCAAUCAGGCUAAUAAAUACCAUGUUCUCAAGCCUAUACAGCUUUCAUCUGCUCUUUUGAACCGCGAGGAAAAACAGAACAAGUUUGUUUAUCUGCAAUUAAACUUUGCGGAUUUACACUCUGAGGAACGAGUGCUGAUGGUGUCCUUUCAUUCUGGGUAUAUCUUUAUUCAAACAGACAAACCCAUCUACAACCCCGGAGACACUGUUCGUUUCAGAACCUUUGUGUCCACUCCGUUCUUUAAAGCCGUUGACAGCUCCAUCAGUAUAGACAUUCAGAAUCCAGAUGGUGUGGUGGUCAGUCAGCUCUCCAGGACCAGAGCCUUGCAUGGCGUUAUCACAGACACUUUCCCCCUGUCUGAGAUUGUCAAUGAAGGGACAUGGCUAGUGACGGCUAAGUUUGACCACUGGGAGCAGAACACAUUCACCUCCUGUUUUGAGGUGAAGAAAUAUGUUCUUCCUGGCUUCAACGUUACACUGACCCCUAAAAAACCCUUCUUCAGCUUGGAUGACGACGAGCUGGUUGUAGAAAUCUCAGCCAGAUACCUGUAUGGGGAGCCUGUCCAGGGCACGGCUUACGUCGUGUUUGGAGUGAAACUCAAUCAAGAGAUGAAAAGAUUACCUUCUGUGAAGCAGGUGUCAGAUCUGGAUGGAGGAACAGUCAGGCUGACUAUGGAGGAGCUCAGGAGAGCUUACCCUGACAUCAAAGCUCUAGUGGGAAGCUCUGUGUAUGUGAAAGCGUCUGUGCUGACCAAGGCAGGAAGCGAUCUGGUUGAAGCAGAAAAGACUGGGAUAAAAAUUGUGAAGUCCCCGUAUGUCAUAUACUUCAAAGACACGCCAAAGUACUUCAAGCCGGGAAUGCCAUUAGACAUAAUAAUUCAGGUGAGCCAACAUGACGGGUCCCCCGCCCAUAAUGUCUUGGUCAAGCUGACGCAUCUGGCCUCACCACUAACCGUCUCAUCGGGAACCGCUAGAGCCACCAUCAACAUGCCCGUUGAACAACAGCUUCAAACUCUCACUGCAGAGACGGUCCAGGCUGACCUGAGACCAGAUCAGCAGGCCAAGCAGCAGUUUACUGUUCAUCCAUACAGGACCUUUAGUGCGGCGCAGAAGAACUACCUGUACAUCUCCACGGACACCAACACGGCGUCUGUAGGAGAUAGACUAUCCCUGCAGUUCUCCGUCUCUUCGUCUGACAAGUCGCACAGACAAUUCAUCAACCACGUCACCUACCUGGUGCUGAAUAAAGGUAGAAUCAUAAGCGCUAAGCGUCAGGACGUGACGGGCCAGCUGGUGACCAGCGUUGGCUUGUUGGUCACAUCGGAGAUGAUGCCCUCGUUUCGGGUCGUGGCGUUCUACAGUAUUCCCUGGACAGGGCGGGAGGAGCUGGUGUCGGACUCUGUCUGGAUAGACGUGAUGGACAGCUGCGUUGGUGGGCUGAAAGUUACAACAGACUCUGUACGCCCACACUACGAUCCUGGGAAAAACUUUCGCUUCCAGAUACGAGGUGACCCAGGGGCAAAAGUCAGCCUGGUGGCUGUGGACAACGCUGUGUACCUCCUGAACGGAGAGCGACUGACACAGAGAAAGAUUUGGGACGUGGUGGAGCACGGAGACAUCGGUUGUACCCGAGGAGGUGGUCAAGAUGCAACAGGAGUGUUUACUGAUGCGGGACUUCUUUACUCCUCCAGUGGUGGAGUCAAAACCAAAACCCGACAAGCCCUACGCUGUCCAGGCAGCGCCAGAAGGAGGCGCACUGCUGAACUCAUCCAACGUAAAGCACGGCUGGAGAGUCACUACAAGGAGAAGCUGGAGCGGCGCUGCUGCAAAGAUGGCCUCAGGGUCAUCCCAAUGCCGUACUCUUGCACCCGGCGCUCCCUCUACAUCACCGAGGGCCCCGAGUGCAUCCUGGCCUUCCGCUACUGCUGCGCCACUUACAGGGACGAGGUGUUCAACACAGAGAUUCCCACCACCCCUCCACCCAUGACCACUGCUCCCCCAACCACCAUCCUUCCACCGAUCCGUGCUAAUCGUCCCUAUUCUGUUGAUGAGACAUCAGAUUCACAGCGGUGGAAACCUCUCUCUGGCCAAUUGUUUGAAUGGUCUGGAAGUCGACCAGUCGCACGUGAGCGCACCACAACGGGUUUGAAAGGCAUCAGCUUUUCAAAUGCAAACAAAUGGGCACCAGAUCGAGCUCGAGUUGCUGCUGCCGUUCCAGAAGUUGGUCGGGGGGUUGCGCUGCUGGAGGACGAUGAAGAAGAAGAGUGGGAGUAUUUGGAUGAGAAUGAUGUCUAUCUUCGUUCCAAGUUCUACGAGUCCUGGUUGUGGAUGGACGUGAGCUUGCCGAGUGAGCCAGACAAAGACGGGUUGGCAUUGAAGAAUAUGGAAAAUCCUUUACCUGACAGCAUCACAGAGUGGGGCAUUUUGGCCAUCAGUGCAUCACCUCAGACAGGUUUCUGUGUCGCGGAGCCGUACAAUUUCAAAACUUGGAAGCGAUUCUUUGUCGACGUAAAGCUUCCUUACUCUGUGGCGAGGAACGAACAGGUGGAGAUUAAAGCUGUCGUCCACAACUACGGCUACGAUGAGAUGCACGUGAGGGUGGUGCUGAUGAAGACAGAGGGCAUGUGCAGCGUGGCUUUCAAGGACAAACACACCCAGGAAGUGACGCUGCCGGCGGGCUCCUCUGUGGCGGUGCCUUACACCAUUGUGCCUCUGGUGGUGGGCAAGCUUCCGCUGGAAGUAAUGGUGGUUGGCAGAGAUAUGACGGGCGGUGACCGCAUCCAGAAAACGCUGCGAGUCGUGCUGGACGGAGUGCAGAAGACUGAAGUCUGGAGCACAGUGUUGAAUCCGUCUGCUCAAGGAGGAACUCAGACGGUUCGCAUCGGUAGGGCUGAACUGGAGUCAGUCGUGCCAAACUCUGUGCCCGAAACCGUCAUUAAUGUCAGAGGUAAUGUUUUGGCAGACAGCAUCGAUAACUCCAUCAGUGAGAACUCCCUGGCGUCUCUCAUCCAGAUGCCUGGUGGUUGCGUGGAGCAGAACUUGGCCUCCAUCACUCUGCCGCUUAUUGCCACCCUCUAUCUGGACCGGAGCAACAACUGGGAGAGUGUAGGGGUGGAUCGCAAGGCUGAGGCUUUCCGAUACAUCAGGAGAGGCUAUGAGAACCAGCUGGCAUACAGAAAGAGCGAUGGCUCGUACCCCCCCUACAGACGUCAAGGAGCAAGUACAUGGAUCACAGCGUACGUCGUCAAAGUGUUCUCCAUGGCUCACCCCAUCGUUAGUAUCUCCGAGCAACAAGUUUGCGACCCUCUGCUCUACCUGGUGACCAACAAAAUCCGGCAAGGCGUGUACAAAGAGGACAACCCGGUUUAUACCACCACGAUGACUGGUGGUCUGCGUGGUGACGACCCACAAAUAACUCUGACAGCCUUUGUCCACAUUGCAGUUGCCGAAGCCGAGAAGGCAGGGAUUAACUGUGGCAGGCCAGAGGUGGAGGCAGCUAUCAGCUCGACUACCCAGUUCCUGACGAGAGCCCUGCUAAUUCGUGGAAGGAGACCAUACACGGUGGCUAUCACCUCCUAUGCUCUGGCUCUGCAGGGAACACACAACAACAUUCAUCUGUCUUUACUUGAAGCAGCAUCUCCAGAUAAGAGCCACUGGCCUGACAAGGAAAACCACUUGUUCACACUGGAGGCAACUGGCUAUGCUUUGCUCGCUCUGAUAAAGUUGGGACGCAUGGAGGAUGCUGCAGUGCCCUUCAAAUGGCUCAACAAUCAGAGAAGAAGAGGAGGAGGCUUCGGCUCAACUCAGUCCACUAUGGUUGUGCUCCAGGCUUUGUCAGAAUACAUGAUCAACCGGCCUCCUCCUGCUGACCUCAGUCUGAACGUGGACAUCAGGAUGACGGGACGCAAGGAAAUCCGUUACCACUUUAACCCGGACACGGCCUAUGCUGCUCGCUCCUCUAAGUUGCCUGCUGGUAUCGACAUGGACGUUGUGGCUCAAGGGAACGGGGAAGGAAUCCUGGAGGUUGUGACUUAUUACAACCAGCUACAUGAAGUUGCAGAGAAAGCACCCUGCACGCACUUUGAGCUCAGUGUUAAUAUUGAAGAAUCCAGCGAAAAGCCUCCAGCUGAUGCAGAAAAAUCCUUCCAGAUCACAAUUAAAGUGAGGGCUUUGGGACCUAGGGACGUCAGAAUGGUGGUUCUUGACAUCAGUCUCCCCACGGGCUUCACCCCAGAGAAUUCAGACCUGGAAAUGCUCUCCAACUCGGUGGAUCAUUACAUCAGCAACUUUCAGAUCGUGGAUAACCUGAGUGAUAGAGGGUCCCUGGUCAUUCACCUGUUCAAGGUUUCUCACAAAGAACCCGAAAUUCUCAUCUUCAGGCUUCAGCAGACCUUUAAAGUUGGUCUCCUGCAGCCAUCGUCUGUCACCGUUUAUGAGUAUUACAACCCAGAUCACCGCUGCAGUCGUACCUACUCUCCCAGGGAGGACAGGGAGGAGCUCACUCGGAUCUGCGACAACAACGUCUGCCGCUGCACGCAGGGCGACUGCUGCGUCUCAAAAGCCGACAGUGAUAAUUUCCCCAACAAAGAAAGAGAGAUCUUUGCCUGCUCGAGCUUACACCAUGUUUGGCGGGUGAAGGUGCUCAGUGUCACUGAGAGCUACUAUGAUAAAUAUGAGAUGGAGAUUACCCAGGUCAUUAAACUUGGUGUAGAAGCUGGAGUUGAAGUCGGUCAGAAGAGGAUUUUCAUGUCUCAUGGUGGCUGCAGAGAGGGACUCAAGCUAAAAGAGGGCUCCCAGUAUCUCAUCAUCGGUCCGAAAGAGGACCAGUGGACCAAUGACCCUACCAACAACGGGUUCAUCUACAUGCUGGGGAAGGACACCUGGGUGGAGCCCUGGCCAUCAGAUACUGAGUGUUCAAGCAAUGCCAGCCUGCAAAAUAAAUGCAAAAGUCUCACUGACGCUGCAAGGGAUCUGUCUGAGAACGGCUGCAGGCUGUAGUUCAAGCUGAACAACAGCCACACACACUUUUGACCCUAAAAGGGAAAACAAUCGUUCUUUUUUUUAUCCCUGUGAAUCUCUGCAAGGAGGGAAAAAAAUGCAGGUGAAAUUAUGUCUAUCUAUCAGAACAUGACUGUUAGGUUUUCCCGAGCACUUUGAACAUUUAAUUAGACUGGGGAACAACAAUAAACUGCUACAGAAAAAAAAACCCACAAAAACAUACAACUUGUGUCUUUUUAAAGAGAAGCGAUCGAAAACACAAAGCAUUACUCUUUUUUUAAAUAAGUAUUCCACUGUAGCAUUUGAUACUAUAUUUAUUAUUAAAAUGGGUAAACUGUAAGAUAAUAAGGGAAAUUGAAAAACGUUUUUGGCUAAAUUUAGAAGGAUGUGUGCUCAAAUAGCUACGCUAGCUGCUGUAUUGCAAAUGUGGAACAAUAAAAAUAAAUAUUAAGCAAUAAUAUCUCUUCAUCUCUCUUUGAAACUCAACAGUUUCCUUUAUUUCUCUGGCUUGAUUAAGUGAUGGUGAAAUCAGAAGGUUAUUAUGUGUUAAACAACCAUAAUUUUACUAGCAAAACAGGAAGUUUGUGGUCAGACCCUGACUGCCGACUACAGCGACUCAGAUUCUGACUCCUGACUUUGAGGCGGAAUAAAAACCUAAAUGGAUUUUUUUUUCCCCAGAGAAGAGAAAAAUGUAAAAAUAGAAAAUGCUUAAGAACUGAGAUCUGCUGUAAUAUUUAACUUUUUUUCUUGUAUUAUCAAUACUAAUAUUAUUAUUUUUGCCUUACAGUGUCCUCUGAAAUAAAAAUAUCAGUUUUGGUCAGCUGAAGUUAUUUUCGUUGCCUCGGAAUGCGUUUGUGAAUGUUUUAUGUCUCAUAUUUGUAUGAUAACGAUUAAAAUAUUGUUCAGUUUGAUUUUUUUUUUUUCUUGCUUGAUGUGUGAAACCAUGUUAUCUGGUAAUAAAACUGGUCGAAAUU